rnacentral:rRNA from 1 species
GACGAACGCUGGCGGCGUGCUUAACACAUGCAAGUCGAACGGAAAGGCCCCUUUGGGGGUACUCGAGUGGCGAACGGGUGAGUAACACGUGAGUAACCUGCCCUUGACUUCGGGAUAACUUCAGGAAACUGGGGCUAAUACCGGAUAGGAAUCCUUGCUGCAUGGUGGGGGUUGGAAAGCUUCGGCGGUUUUGGAUGGACUCGCGGCUUAUCAGCUUGUUGGUGGGGUAGUGGCUUACCAAGGCUUUGACGGGUAGCCGGCCUGAGAGGGCGACCGGCCACAUUGGGACUGAGAUACGGCCCAGACUCCUACGGGAGGCAGCAGUGGGGAAUAUUGCACAAUGGGCGGAAGCCUGAUGCAGCAAAGCCGCGUGCGGGAUGACGGACUUCGGGUUGUAAACCGCUUUCAGCAGGGGCGAAGCUUGUGGUGACGGUACCUGCAGAAGAAGCACCGGCUAACUACGUG